rnacentral:rRNA from 1 species
UACAGAGGGUGCGAGCGUUAAUCGGAAUUACUGGGCGUAAAGCGCGCGUAGGCGGCUUUGCAAGUCGGGUGUGAAAUCCCCAGGCUUAACUUGGGAAUUGCGCUCGAAACUACGUGGCUCGAGUGUGGCAGAGGAAGGUGGAAUUCCACGUGUAGCGGUGAAAUGCGUAGAGAUGUGGAGGAACACCGAUGGCGAAGGCAGCCUUCUGGGCCAACACUGACGCUCAUGCACGAAAGCGUGGGGAGCAAACAGG